rnacentral:rRNA from 1 species
UACGAAGGGGGCUAGCGUUGCUCGGAAUCACUGGGCGUAAAGCGCGCGUAGGCGGCCCUGUAAGUCCGCUGUGAAAGUCAAAGGCUCAACCUUUGAAAGCCGGUGGAUACUGCAGGGCUAGAGUCCGGAAGAGGCGAGUGGAAUUCCUGGUGUAGCGGUGGAAUGCGCAGAUAUCAGGAGGAACACCAAUAGCGAAGGCAGCUCGCUGGGACGGUACUGACGCUAAGGCGCGAAAGCGUGGGGAGCGAACAGG